GCAGUCGAACGGCAGCAUGAUCUAGCUUGCUAGAUUGAUGGCGAGUGGCGAACGGGUGAGUAAUACAUCGGAACGUGCCCUGUAGUGGGGGAUAACUAGUCGAAAGAUUAGCUAAUACCGCAUACGACCUGAGGGUGAAAGUGGGGGACCGCAAGGCCUCAUGCUAUAGGAGCGGCCGAUGUCUGAUUAGCUAGUUGGUGAGGUAAAGGCUCACCAAGGCGACGAUCAGUAGCUGGUCUGAGAGGACGAUCAGCCACACUGGGACUGAGACACGGCCCAGACUCCUACGGGAGGCAGCAGUGGGGAAUUUUGGACAAUGGGCGAAAGCCUGAUCCAGCAAUGCCGCGUGUGUGAAGAAGGCCUUCGGGUUGUAAAGCACUUUUGUCCGGAAAGAAAUGGCUCUGGUUAAUACCUGGGGUCGAUGACGGUACCGGAAGAAUAAGGACCGGCUAACUACGUGCCAGCAGCCGCGGUAAUACGUAGGGUCCAAGCGUUAAUCGGAAUUACUGGGCGUAAAGCGUGCGCAGGCGGUUGUGCAAGACCGAUGUGAAAUCCCCGAGCUUAACUUGGGAAUUGCAUUGGUGACUGCACGGCUAGAGUGUGUCAGAGGGGGGUAGAAUUCCACGUGUAGCAGUGAAAUGCGUAGAGAUGUGGAGGAAUACCGAUGGCGAAGGCAGCCCCCUGGGAUAACACUGACGCUCAUGCACGAAAGCGUGGGGAGCAAACAGGAUUAGAUACCCUGGUAGUCCACGCCCUAAACGAUGUCAACUAGUUGUUGGGGAUUCAUUUCCUUAGUAACGUAGCUAACGCGUGAAGUUGACCGCCUGGGGAGUACGGUCGCAAGAUUAAAACUCAAAGGAAUUGACGGGGACCCGCACAAGCGGUGGAUGAUGUGGAUUAAUUCGAUGCAACGCGAAAAACCUUACCUACCCUUGACAUGCCACUAACGAAGCAGAGAUGCAUU
rnacentral:rRNA from 1 species